rnacentral:rRNA from 1 species
AGGAAAUAAAAACAACAGGGAUUGCCUCAGUAACGGCGAGUGAAGCGGCAACAGCUCAAAUUUGAAAGCUGGCUCCUCUGGGGCCCGCGUUGUAAUUUGUAGAGGAUGCUUCGGGUGCGGCGCCGGUCUAAGUUCUUUGGAACAAGACGUCAUAGAGGGUGAGAAUCCCGUAUGUGACUGGUUGCCUGCGCCUAUGUGAAGCUCCUUCGACGAGUCGAGUUGUUUGGGAAUGCAGCUCUAAAUGGGUGGUGUACUUCAUCUAAAGCUAAAUAUUGGCCAGAGACCGAUAGCGCACAAGUAGAGUGAUCGAAAGAUGAAAAGCACUUUGGAAAGAGAGUUAAACAGUACGUGAAAUUGUUGAAAGGGAAGCGCUUGCAAUCAGACUUGCGCGGCGUCGAUCAGCCUGGGUUUUCCCUGGUGCACUCGGCGCCGCUCAGGCCAGCAUCAGUUUCGGCGGUUGGAUAAAGGCCUAGGGAACGUGGGUCGCCUCGGCGACCGUUAUAGCCCUAGGUGCAAUGCAGCCUGCUGGGACUGAGGACCGCGCUUCGGCUAGGAUGCUGGCGUAAUGGUUGUAAGCGACCCGUCUUGAAACACGGACCAAGGAGUCUAACAUCUAUGCGAGUUUUUGGGUGUCAAACCCAUGAGCGUAAUGAAAGUGAACGGAGGUGAGAACCCUUAAGGGUGCAUCAUCGACCGAUCCUGAUGUCUUCGGAUGGAUUUGAGUAAGAGCAUAGCUGUUGGGACCCGAAAGAUGGUAGCAUACUUUGCCAUUGAGAGCUGCAGCGCAGCUAGUGGGCCCAUGAGGCUGUGAGAGAUUAAUCUGCUGUGAAAUAUACAAGUUUAUUUCAGCAGCAUCCCUUACCCGGGAUGUUAAAAACAAAUAGAAUUCAAUGGCUGCGGGCAGUUUGAAAAUGGCCCGGGCAUUCCCUAGCGAUGGGGGAUACAAGCUGGAACUAUGCCUGAAUAGGGGGAAGCCAGAGAAACUUCUGGUGGAGGCCGC